GCCCAAUGAUGAGACCAAGGCGAAUACGAGCCGACUGAAUGAGAGUUGGGUUGCUCUUUGCCUUGACUGGCAGGUAAUCUUGGCAGUGCAGAGGAGCGUUCCUGCUCUGCUGUAAGGGCCUGCCUACAGUGACUUGGCUCACCCAAAUUAUUCCUCUACAGUCACAGCGGAGUAAUUACUCGGAUGAAGCUGACAGUGUGUUUUGUGUGUGUGUGAGAGUGAGAGAGUGUGUGUCUGUGUGUGUAAAAGACAAGGAGUUUACCCAUCUCUCUUUGCUGUUCAGUUAGCAAUGAGUUGCUUCUUUGGUAAUCUGAGGGCA